UCUACACCACCGCAACCCCAUCGCGCGGCUGCAGCGCCACUGCACAUCGAUCUCGCGGCGGCGGAAAUGGCGCCGAUCACCGUCACGCGGCUGCAGCGCCACGUCGAUCUCAUCAUCCGCAGCAAAGCCUCCGGUGGCCACUUGUACACCUCCGUACGUCGUCGUCUCCUUCAAUCUCGCCGCGCUGACGGCGGCGGCGGAAACGGCGAAUCCCCUCGCACGGCUGCAGCGCCACAUCUACCGAUGUCGCGCGCGCAGCAACUACCAAUGCCGCCGGCGAUCACUUCGACACCUCCUUCGAUUUGACGGCGCCAUCGCCCUGAUCGACAAGCAUCUAGCUAGUUUGGACGAUGCUCAUACGGAAUUGGAUGAAUAACUUGGAAGCGAUCUCUAAACAACACUGGAUCUGGUGAAACAGUUGGAUGCUGAUGCUGAAUCAAAGCACCUUAACCAAGCUCCUGGGACGAGGACGUGGCCACUUGUACACCUCCGUCGUCUCCUUCAAUCUCGCGGCGGCGGCGGCAGAAGCAGCGAAUGCCCUCGCGCGGCUGCAGCGCUACAUCUAUCGAUCUUGCGCGGGCAGCAACCAGCAAUUAAUACCGCCGGCGAUCACUUUGACACCUCCAUCACACCACUGCCCUGAUCGACAAGUGAGUUUCCCGAUAUCAUUUGCAUCUUGGUGGACGGACAGAUUACUCGAUCUAUUCAUUUGCGUUCCCAGAUUUACUGUGGAUAGACGACAGUAUCCUCAUUUAUUUGUUUGCAAAGUAAUCAUUAUUAGUGCUCAGAUUAUACUAGUAUAGAUAUAUAAUACGCCAUGAGUUUCUUUCGAAGUCGUCGUCGUCGUGAGUGUCGGUAAA